rnacentral:rRNA from 1 species
CCUACGGGCGGCAGCAGUGGGGAAUAUUGGACAAUGGGCGAAAGCCUGAUCCAGCCAUGCCGCGUGUGUGAAGAAGGCCUUCGGGUUGUAAAGCACUUUCAGUGGGGAAGAAAGCCUUGGGGCUAAUACCCUCGAGGAAGGACAUCACCCACAGAAGAAGCACCGGCUAACUCCGUGCCAGCAGCCGCGGUAAUACGGAGGGUGCGAGCGUUAAUCGGAAUUACUGGGCGUAAAGCGCGCGUAGGCGGUCUGAUAAGCCGGUUGUGAAAGCCCCGGGCUCAACCUGGGAACGGCAUCCGGAACUAUCAGGCUAGAGUGCAGGAGAGGAAGGUAGAAUUCCCGGUGUAGCGGUGAAAUGCGUAGAGAUCGGGAGGAAUACCAGUGGCGAAGGCGGCCUUCUGGACUGACACUGACGCUGAGGUGCGAAAGCGUGGGUAGCAAACAGGAUUAGAUACCCUUGUAGUC